UACAGAGGUCUCAAGCGUUGUUCGGAUUCAUUGGGCGUAAAGGGUGCGUAGGCGGCGCGGUAAGUCGGGUGUGAAAUCUUGGAGCUUAACUCCGAAACUGCAUUCGAUACUGCCGUGCUUGAGGACUGGAGAGGAGACUGGAAUUUACGGUGUAGCGGUGAAAUGCGUAGAUAUUGGGAGGAACACCAGUGGCGAAGGCGGCUCGCUGGACCGGAACUGACGCUGAGGCGCGAAAGCGUGGGGAGCAAACAGG
rnacentral:rRNA from 1 species